GAUAUCCUCUCACCAAUGAUUUUUCAGAAAGUGCUGAUUGCUGCCUCUUGAGAAAGAAUUUGCUGGUGUUUCACAUCAAAGAAAGAAUGUAGUGUUGAGCUUUGAUGAAAUGUGGAACAGGAGGGGCAGUUUUAUAGGACAUACAGGGACAGACAGAAAAGGAGCCUCAACUGGAUGGGAACCCUGUCCUCUGAAGAAGUUGUGAAGAUCCAGGAAGUAAAUAAUUCUGGUAACUGCAUUGAUGUGAGUUUGUAACACAAAUGGAUGAGCACAAUUAUCUCCAUUCCUUCUGGAUAGCACUGUGUUGGGAAAGGUGAUAAAGAAAAUUUCUGCUGUGCUGGUUAUGUUUAUGAUAGAUUAAAACCCCCCUAAAGAUGACACCCUCUUGUUGUCUUUCAUGACCUUCUGAGGUAUCUUAAGUCUUGGUUGCUGACUAAGGUAGCAGCACAGAGAAUCAAGCUUUUAAAGGCCCUAUUUCAUAAAUCUAAUAACAACAUAAAGAGAAGCUGAGGCAUAUACUUCUUUUAUAGUGUAUCAUUAAAGGAACUGAUAUCAUAUUUUCCCUGUAAAAUAGCUCCCAAAAAGUAUCUGGGCUGACUUUCAGGCACCAGUAGGAUGACCAUUGGGAAGCAAACCUUCCAGCUUCCUUCUUUAGAAAGAAAAGGACACUGCCUGAGAGACACUUUUCAAAGUAUGCCUCAUUAGCAGCUGUGUGCUGAGGGUUUUGGUGCCCUGCAGCUAAGAAUACUUGGAAGUGUCAUGUAGAAAAGAGACUCAAGUCAGUCCUGAGUUGCUAAGUUCCUCUAAAGGGAUUUUGCUAAAAAAGGAGAGGAAUUUAUCACCUAUUAGAACAUAGUUUGGCUGUACUUUGCAAGCAAUUUAAUAAAGUAUUUCUCUAUGAGUACUGGCAGUUUUUGAAAUGAAAGAAGUAGGGCUGCUUCAUGCACUGAAAAAUUUUUGCUAUUGACUUCACUGGAGCCAUGGCUCUUCACCAGAUCCUUAUCCUAAAGGGCUAAAGUGCCCUUAAAAGAGCAACUGCAAAUUUAUAAAUCAUAAUUGGAGUUCUCAGCUGACAUGACAACCAGCACCACUCCUGCUUAGGAUAUCACCCUGCAAACCUGUUACCCUCUGUCUAUAGCACUCACUCGGGAGAUUGCUUUGUCCCCAAUUAUUUUUGCUGGAAUUUUUGUUUAUA
rnacentral:lncRNA from 1 species